rnacentral:rRNA from 1 species
ACGGGAGGCAGCAGUGAGGAAUAUUGGUCAGUGGGCGGAAGCCUGAACCAGCCAAGUCGCGUGAAGGAUGAAGGUAUUAUGUAUUGUAAACUUCUUUAGCAGUGGAGUAAUAAGGGGAUCGUGAUCCCUGAUGCAAGUACACUGAAAAUAAGGAUCGGCUAACUCCGUGCCAGCAGCCGCGGUAAUACGGAGGAUCCGAGCGUUAUCCGGAUUUAUUGGGUUUAAAGGGUGCGCAGGCGGCUUUUUAAGUCAGCGGUAAAAUCGUGGGGCCCAACCCCAUCCUGCCGUUGAUACUGGAGAGCUUGAUUGCGGUUGAGGUUGGCGGAAUUCGUCGUGUAGCGGUGAAGUGCAUAGAUAUGACGAAGAACUCCGAUUGCGUAGGCAGCUGACCAAGCCGUAAAUGACGCUCAUGCACGAAAGUGCGGGGAUCGAACAGGAUUAGAUACCCUGGUA